rnacentral:rRNA from 1 species
UAGGGAAUCUUCCGCAAUGGGCGAAAGCCUGACGGAGCAACGCCGCGUGAGUGAUGAAGGUCUUCGGAUCGUAAAACUCUGUUAUUAGGGAAGAACAAAUGUGUAAGUAACUAUGCACGUCUUGACGGUACCUAAUCAGAAAGCCACGGCUAACUACGUGCCAGCAGCCGCGGUAAUACGUAGGUGGCAAGCGUUAUCCGGAAUUAUUGGGCGUAAAGCGCGCGUAGGCGGUUUUUUAAGUCUGAUGUGAAAGCCCACGGCUCAACCGUGGAGGGUCAUUGGAAACUGGAAAACUUGAGUGCAGAAGGGGAAAGUGGAAUUCCAUGUGUAGCGGUGAAAUGCGCAGAGAUAUGAAGAAACACCAGUGGCGAAGGCAACUUUCUGGUCUGUAACUGACGCUGAUGUGCGAAAGCGUGGGGAUCAAACAGG